AGAUAGGCUCCAACUUAGAAUUAAAUCUGGAUUCCAUCGAAUUCAGUUUAUCAUUUACCUCUUCAAUCCUUUGAUUCAAAUUUUCUUCCAUGUUUAACUUCCAGGAGUUCACUACAUCAUGUAAUGAA